GACGAACGCUGGCGGCGUGCUUAACACAUGCAAGUCGAACGAUAAACCCGGAGCUUCCUCUGGUGGAUAAGUGGCGAUCGGGUGCGUAACACGUGAGUAACCUGCCCUGGACUUUGGGAUAAGCGUUGGAAAGGACGCCUAAUACCGGAUAGGACCUUGGAUCCCGUGAUCUGGGGGGGAACGUUUUUUCGGUCUGGGAUGGACUAGCGGCUGAUCAGAUUGUUGGUGAGGUAAGGGCUCACCAAGGCGUCGACGGGUAGCCGGCCUGAGAGGGUGAUCGGCCACACUGCGAAUGAGACAGGGACCAGGCUGCGGCGAAAGGCGGAAGUGGGGAAGAAUGCACAACGAGCGAUAGCGUGAUGGAGAAGAAGCGCGUGCGGGAGGAAAGCCUUCGGGUUGUAAACCGCUAUUAGUAGGGUAGAAGGGCUUCGGCUUGACGGUACCUAAAGAAUAAGCACCGGCUAACUACGUG
rnacentral:rRNA from 1 species